CAGCAGCCGCGGUAAGACGUAGGGGGCAAGCGUUGUCCGGAAUCACUGGGCGUAAAGAGCUCGUAGGCGGAAUAUUGCGUCUUGGAGUAAAUCCAUCUGCUCAACGGAUGGUUCAUCUAAGAUACGGGUACUCUUGAGGACAGGAGAGGGCAGCGGAAUUCCGAGUGUAGCGGUGAAAUGCGUAGAGAUUCGGAGGAACACCAGUGGCGAAGGCGGCUGCCUGGCCUGAUUCUGACGCUGAGGAGCGAAAGCCAGGGGAGCGAACGGGAUUAGAUACCCCGGUAGUCCUGUUGCUGUAAACGAUGGAUACUAGGUGUAGGAGGUAUUGACUCCUUCUGUGCCGCAGCUAACGCAAUAAGUAUCCCGCCUGGGAAGUACGGCCGCAAGGUUGAAACUCAAAGGAAUUGACGG
rnacentral:rRNA from 1 species